rnacentral:rRNA from 1 species
AUUGAACGCUGGCGGCAGGCCUAACACAUGCAAGUCGAACGAGUGGCGGACGGGUGAGUAAUGUCUUGGAAACUGCCUGAUGGAGGGGGAUAACUACUGGAAACGGUAGCUAAUACCGCAUACCAUCAGAUGUGCCCAGGUGGGAUUAGCUAGUUGGUGGGGUAACGGCUCACCAAGGCGACGCUCCCUAGCUGGUCUGAGAGGAUGACCAGCCACACUGGAACUGAGACACGGCCCAGACUCCUACGGGAGGCAGCAGUGGGGAAUAUUGCACAAUGGGCGCAAGCCUGAUGCAGCCAGGCCGCGUGUGUGAAGAAGGCCUUCGGAUUGUAAAGUACUUUCGGCAGUGAGGCGUUACCCGCAGAAAAAGCACCGGCUAACUCCGUGCCAGCAGCCGCGGUAAUAC